AACCCAUGAUUUGGACAUUUUCUAAGCAACUCUUUAUACCUCUCCCAUGCUUCAUACAAUGAUUUGUUGUUGUUUUAGCAAAAAAAAGGUGAUGUUGUUCCUCAUCUU